UCAAGCUAAUAAGAGCAUAGGGUGGAUGCCUUGGCACUAGGAGCCGAAGAAGGUCGUGAUAAGCUGCGAAAAGCUUUGGGGAGGCGCAAAUAGCCAUUGAUCCAGAGAUUACCGAAUGGGGAAACCUGGCUGGGAAGAUCCCAGUUACUACUGAGUGAAUACAUAGCUUAGUAGGGGGAACCCGGGGAACUGAAACAUCUAAGUACCCGGAGGAAGAGAAAGAAACAUCGAUUUCCUAAGUAGCGGCGAGCGAAAGGGAAAGAGGCCAAACCGUUGAACCUAGUUCAACGGGGUUCGGACUGCAGACGGUAUUAACAAAGAUUAGUCGAAAUGUUUUGGAAGAGCAUAUCAAAGAGGGUGAGAAUCCCGUAGACGAAAGUUUAAGUUAGCCAGCAGGAUCCAGAGUAGCGCGAGACACGAGAAACCUUGCGUGAACAAGCGGGGACCACCCCGUAAGCCUAAAUACUACCUAGUGACCGAUAGCGCAUAGUACUGUGAAGGAAAGGUGAAAAGAACCCCGGGAGGGGAGUGAAAGAGAACCUGAAACCCUAUGUUUACAAGCAGUCGAAGCACGUUAAAGUGCGACGGCGUACUUUUUGUAGAACGGUCCGGCGAGUUACGAUUGCAGGCAAGGUUAAGCAUUAAAGAUGUGGAGCCGAAGGGAAACCAAGUCUUAAUAGGGCGUCAAGUCAGUAGUCGUAGACCCGAAACCGGGUGACCUAUCCAUGUGCAGGUUGAAGUUACCGUAAAAGGUAAUGGAGGACCGAACUCACAUCUGUUGAAAAAGGUGGAGAUGACGUGUGGAUAGCGGAGAAAUUCCAAUCGAACCCGGAGAUAGCUGGUUCUCCUCGAAAUAGCUUUAGGGCUAGCCUUGAUUUAGUCUAAUGGAGGUAGAGCACUGAAUUGCCUAGGGGGCUUCACAGCUUACCGAAGCAUAUCAAACUCCGAAUGCCAUAUAGAUGAUGAUCAGGAGUCAGACUAUCGGAGAUAAGUUCGAUAGUCAAAAGGGAAAGAGCCCAGACCACCAGCUAAGGUCCCAAAGUGCGUGUUAAGUGGAAAAGGAUGUGAGAUUUCGAAGACAACUAGGAUGUUGGCUUAGAAGCAGCCAUGCAUUCAAAGAGUGCGUAAUAGCUCACUAGUCGAGAGGUCUUGCGCCGAAAAUGUCCGGGGCUAAAACACGCCACCGAAGCUGUGGAUUGGUACGUAAGUAUCAGUGGUAGAGGAGCAUUCUUAGAUUGGAGAAGCUGUACCGUAAGGAGCAGUGGAGAGCUAAGAAGAGAGAAUGCCGGAAUGAGUAGCGAGAGAGAAGUGAGAAUCUUCUCGGCCGAAUAUCUAAGGUUUCCAGAGUAAAGCUGAUCUUCUCUGGGUAAGUCGGGACCUAAGGUGAGGGCGAAAGCCGUAGCCGAUGGACAACUAGUUGAAAUUCUAGUACCGCAUAUAAACAGAACUGUGGGGACGCAGGAGGAUAACAAGAGCCAGGAAAGGAAAAACUGGUGCAAGCACAAAGGCCGUUGGAUAGGCAAAUCCGUCCAACAUAAGGUUGAAGUGUGACGCGGAUCGAAUUAAAGUAGAGAAGCUUGUGAAUCCAUACUGCCAAGAAAAGCCGCUAUUGUUUUAUAUGUGCCCGUACCGCAAACCGACACAGGUAGAUGAGGAGAGAAUCCUAAGGCCGACGGGAGAAGCGUUGUUAAGGAACUCGGCAAAAUGACCCCGUAACUUCGGGAGAAGGGGUGCCAUCUUCGGAUGGCCGCAGAGAAUAGGCCCAAGCGACUGUUUAGCAAAAACACAGGUCUCUGCAAAACCGAAAGGUGAAGUAUAGGGGCUGACGCCUGCCCGGUGCUGGAAGGUUAAGGGGAAGGAUUAGCGUAAGCGAAGUCUAGAACUUAAGCCCCAGUAAACGGCGGCCGUAACUAUAACGGUCCUAAGGUAGCGAAAUUCCUUGUCGGGUAAGUU
rnacentral:rRNA from 1 species